rnacentral:rRNA from 1 species
GUCCACGCCGUAAACGAUGAAUACUAGGUGUGGGGGGACUGACCCCCUCCGUGCCGCAGUUAACACAAUAAGUAUUCCACCUGGGGAGUACGGCCGCAAGGUUGAAACUCAAAGGAAUUGACGGGGGCCCGCACAAGCAGUGGAUUAUGUGGUUUAAUUCGAAGCAACGCGAAGAACCUUACCAGGGCUUGACAUCCAACUAACGAAGUAGAGAUACAUUAGGUGCCCUUCGGGGAAAGUUGAGACAGGUGGUGCAUGGUUGUCGU